ACGAAAGUCUGACGCAGCGACACCGCGUGUGGGAAGACGCUUUUCGGAGUGUAAACCACUGUGGCGAGGGAGGAAGUUCUGACAGUACCUCGCUAGAAAGCACCAGCUAACCACGUGCCAGAAGCUUCGGUAAUACGUGGGGUGCAAGCGUUAUCCGGAUUUACUGGGUGUAAAGGGUCCGUCGGCGUUCCUGUUAGUCAUUUGUUUAAGCCUGAGGCUCAACUUCAGAAAGGCAAAUGAUACUGCAGGAAUAGAGUCUGUUCGAGGAAACUAGAAUUCUUGGUGGAGGGGUGAAAUCCGUAGAUAUCAAGAGGAAUACCGUGCGCGAAGGCAGGUUUCUAGGACAUGACUGACGCUCAGGGACGAAAGCUUGGGUAGCAAAAGGGAUUAGAGACCCCUGUAGUCCAAGCCGUAAACGCUCCUUGCUAGUUGUCCCCAUUUUUAUGGGGGUGGCGUAAGCUAACGCGUUAAGCAAGGCACCUGGGGAGUACGACCGCAAGGUUAAAACUCAAAGGAAUUGACGGGGGAGCGCACAACCGGUGGAGCAUGUGGUUUAAUUCGAUACAAAGCGAAACACCUUACCCAGGUUUGACAUGUAUCUGCACGUUCUGGGAAACCAGAAUUUCUUCGAGAGUGAUACACAGGUGAUGCAUGGCUGUCGUCAGCUCGUGUCGUGAGACGUCCGCUUAAGUGCGGUAACGAGCGCAACCCUUGUCGUAUGUUAUACGUGUCAUACGAGACUGCCCACGCUCUGCGUGGGAGGAAGGAGAGGACGACGUCAAGUCAGCAUGUCCCUUACAUCUGGGGCUACACACAUCCUACAAUGGAGCCGACAACAGGAAGCGAAGAGGCAACUCAGAGCAAAUCCUCUAAACGGCCCCUCAGUUCGGAUUGAGGGCUGCAAUUCGCCCUCAUGAAGCCGGAAUCGGUAGUAAUCGCAAAUCAGCAGGUUGCGGUGAAUACGUUCUCGCUCCUUGUACACACUGCCCGUCAAGCCAGCAAAGUCAGCAGCGCCCGAAGCGGGUGACCGUAACCAGUUUACUGGAGCGGCCCUUCUACGGUGAGGUUGGCGAUGAGGACUAAGUCGUAACAAGGUAUCCGUACUGGAAGGUGCGGAUGGAUCACCUCCUUUCUAAG
rnacentral:rRNA from 1 species